AGCGAACGCUGGCGGCAGGCCUAACACAUGCAAGUCGAGCGCCCCGCAAGGGGAGCGGCAGACGGGAGAGUAACACGUGGGAACGUACCCUUCGGUUCGGAACAACCCAGGGAAACUUGGGCUAAUACCGGAUACGUCCGAAAGGAGAAAGAUUUAUCGCCGAAGGAUCGGCCCGCGUCUGAUUAGCUAGUUGGUGGGGUAAUGGCUCACCAAGGCGACGAUCAGUAGCUGGUCUGAGAGGAUGAUCAGCCUCACUGGGACUGAGACACGGCCCAGACUCCUACGGGAGGCAGCAGUGGGGAAUAUUGGACAAUGGGCGCAAGCCUGAUCCAGCCAUGCCGCGUGGGUGAUGAAGGCCCUAGGGUUGUAAAGCCCUUUCGGCGGGGAAGAUAAUGACGGUACCCGCAGAAGAAGCCCCGGCUAACUUCGUGCCAGCCGCCGCCGUAAUAC
rnacentral:rRNA from 1 species